GGCUAGUCUCAAGGUAGUGAGUUAUCUCACUUGAUUGUUCAUGGUCAGUUACAGAUUGAACUCUUUGUUCUAUUCUUUCCCCCCUUCUCACUACUGCACUUGACUAAUACAAA
ensembl:misc_RNA Y_RNA Y RNA